rnacentral:rRNA from 1 species
ACGUAGGGGGCAAGCGUUAUCCGGAAUUAUUGGGCGUAAAGGGUGCGUAGGCGGCUUUUUAAGCGCGGGGUGAAAGGCAAUGGCUUAACCAUUGUCAGCCUUUGGAACUGAGAGGCUUGAGUGUAGGAGAGGAAAGUGGAAUUCCUGGUGUAGAGGUGAAAUGCGUAGAUAUUAGGAGGAACACCAGUGGCGAAGGCGACUUUCUGGAUUAUUACUGACGCUGAGGCGCGAAAGUGUGGGGAGCAAACAG